rnacentral:rRNA from 1 species
AACGAACGCUGGCGGCAGGCCUAACACAUGCAAGUCGAGCGAGCAUUUCGGUGCUAGCGGCGGACGGGUGAGUAACGCGUGGGAACGUGCCCUUUUCUGCGGAAUAGUCCUGGGAAACUGGGGGUAAUACCGCAUACGCACUUUUGGGGAAAGAUUUAUCGGAGAAGGAUCGGCCCGCGUUGGAUUAGGUAGUUGGUGGGGUAAUGGCCCACCAAGCCGACGAUCCAUAGCUGGUUUGAGAGGAUGAUCAGCCACACUGGGACUGAGACACGGCCCAGACUCCUACGGGAGGCAGCAGUGGGGAAUCUUAGACAAUGGGGGCAACCCUGAUCUAGCCAUGCCGCGUGAGUGAUGAAGGCCUUAGGGUUGUAAAGCUCUUUCAGCUGGGAAGAUAAUGACGGUACCAGCAGAAGAAGCCCCGGCUAACUCCGUG